rnacentral:rRNA from 1 species
GAUUAAGUUAUUAAGGGCGCACGGUGGAUGCCUUGGCACUAGAAGCCGAUGAAGGACGUUACUAACGACGAUAUGCUUUGGGUAGCUGUAAGUAAGCGUUGAUCCAGAGAUUUCCGAAUGGGGGAACCCAACAUGAGUUAUGUCAUGUUAUCGACAUGUGAAUUCAUAGCAUGUCAGAAGGCAGACCCGGAGAACUGAAACAUCUUAGUACCCGGAGGAAGAGAAAGAAAAAUCGAUUCCCUGAGUAGCGGCGAGCGAAACGGGAAGAGCCCAAACCAACAAGCUUGCUUGUUGGGGUUGUAGGACACUCUAUACGGAGUUACAAAAGAACAUGUUAGACGAAUCAUCUGGAAAGAUGAAUCAAAGAAGGUAAUAAUCCUGUAGUCGAAAACAUAUUCUCUCUUGAGUGGAUCCUGAGUACGACGGAGCACGUGAAAUUCCGUCGGAAUCUGGGAGGACCAUCUCCUAAGGCUAAAUACUCUCUAGUGACCGAUAGUGAACCAGUACCGUGAGGGAAAGGUGAAAAGUACCCCGGAAGGGGAGUGAAAGAGAACUUGAAACCGUGUGCUUACAAGUAGUCAGAGCCCGUUAAUGGGUGAUGGCGUGCCUUUUGUAGAAUGAACCGGCGAGUUACGAUCUGAUGCAAGGUUAAGCAGCAAAUGUGGAGCCGCAGCGAAAGCGAGUCUGAAUAGGGCGUUGAGUAUUUGGUCGUAGACCCGAAACCAGGUGAUCUACCCUUGGUCAGGUUGAAGUUCAGGUAACACUGAAUGGAGGACCGAACCGACUUACGUUGAAAAGUGAGCGGAUGAACUGAGGGUAGCGGAGAAAUUCCAAUCGAACUUGGAGAUAGCUGGUUCUCUCCGAAAUAGCUUUAGGGCUAGCCUCAAGUGAUGAUUAUUGGAGGUAGAGCACUGUUUGGACGAGGGGCCCCUCUCGGGUUACCGAAUUCAGACAAACUCCGAAUGCCAAUUAAUUUAACUUGGGAGUCAGAACAUGGGUGAUAAGGUCCGUGUUCGAAAGGGAAACAGCCCAGACCACCAGCUAAGGUCCCAAAAUAUAUGUUAAGUGGAAAAGGAUGUGGCGUUGCCCAGACAACUAGGAUGUUGGCUUAGAAGCAGCCAUCAUUUAAAGAGUGCGUAAUAGCUCACUAGUCGAGUGACACUGCGCCGAAAAUGUACCGGGGCUAAACAUAUUACCGAAGCUGUGGAUUGUCCUUUGGACAAUGGUAGGAGAGCGUUCUAAGGGCGUCGAAGCAUGAUCGCAAGGACAUGUGGAGCGCUUAGAAGUGAGAAUGCCGGUGUGAGUAGCGAAAGACGGGUGAGAAUCCCGUCCACCGAUUGACUAAGGUUUCCAGAGGAAGGCUCGUCCGCUCUGGGUUAGUCGGGUCCUAAGCUGAGGCCGACAGGCGUAGGCGAUGGAUAACAGGUUGAUAUUCCUGUACCACCUAGUAUCGUUUUAAUCGAUGGGGGGACGCAGUAGGAUAGGCGAAGCGUGCUGUUGGAGUGCACGUCCAAGCAGUAAGGCUGAGUGUUAGGCAAAUCCGGCACUCAUAAGGCUGAGCUGUGAUGGGGAGAGGAAAUUGUUUCCUCGAGUCGUUGAUUUCACACUGCCGAGAAAAGCCUCUAGAUAGAUAACAGGUGCCCGUACCGCAAACCGACACAGGUAGUCAAGAUGAGAAUUCUAAGGUGAGCGAGCGAACUCUCGUUAAGGAACUCGGCAAAAUGACCCCGUAACUUCGGGAGAAGGGGUGCUCUUUAGGGUUCACGCCCAGAAGAGCCGCAGUGAAUAGGCCCAAGCGACUGUUUAUCAAAAACACAGGUCUCUGCUAAACCGUAAGGUGAUGUAUAGGGGCUGACGCCUGCCCGGUGCUGGAAGGUUAAGAGGAGUGGUUAGCUUCUGCGAAGCUACGAAUCGAAGCCCCAGUAAACGGCGGCCGUAACUAUAACGGUCCUAAGGUAGCGAAAUUCCUUGUCGGGUAAGUUCCGACCCGCACGAAAGGCGUAACGAUUUGGGCACUGUCUCAACGAGAGACUCGGUGAAAUCAUAGUACCUGUGAAGAUGCAGGUUACCCGCGACAGGACGGAAAGACCCCGUGGAGCUUUACUGUAGCCUGAUAUUGAAAUUCGGCACAGCUUGUACAGGAUAGGUAGGAGCCUUUGAAACGUGAGCGCUAGCUUACGUGGAGGCGUUGGUGGGAUACUACCCUAGCUGUGUUGGCUUUCUAACCCGCACCACUUAUCGUGGUGGGAGACAGUGUCAGGCGGGCAGUUUGACUGGGGCGGUCGCCUCCUAAAAGGUAACGGAGGCGCUCAAAGGUUCCCUCAGAAUGGUUGGAAAUCAUUCAUAGAGUGUAAAGGCAUAAGGGAGCUUGACUGCGAGACCUACAAGUCGAGCAGGGUCGAAAGACGGACUUAGUGAUCCGGUGGUUCCGCAUGGAAGGGCCAUCGCUCAACGGAUAAAAGCUACCCCGGGGAUAACAGGCUUAUCUCCCCCAAGAGUUCACAUCGACGGGGAGGUUUGGCACCUCGAUGUCGGCUCAUCGCAUCCUGGGGCUGUAGUCGGUCCCAAGGGUUGGGCUGUUCGCCCAUUAAAGCGGUACGCGAGCUGGGUUCAGAACGUCGUGAGACAGUUCGGUCCCUAUCCGUCGUGGGCGUAGGAAAUUUGAGAGGAGCUGUCCUUAGUACGAGAGGACCGGGAUGGACAUACCUCUGGUGUACCAGUUGUCGUGCCAACGGCAUAGCUGGGUAGCUAUGUAUGGACGGGAUAAGUGCUGAAAGCAUCUAAGCAUGAAGCCCCCCUCAAGAUGAGAUUUCCCAACUUCGGUUAUAAGAUCCCUCGAAGAUGACGAGGUUAAUAGGUUCGAGGUGGAAGCGUGGUGACACGUGGAGCUGACGAAUACUAAUCGAUCGAAGACUUAAUCAAUUUUUAAAA